UACGUAGGGUGCAAGCGUUUGUCCGGAUUUAUUGGGCGUAAAGAGCUCGUAGGCGGUCUGUCGCGUCGGAUGUGAAAACCCAGGGCUCAACCUCGGGCCUGCAUUCGAUACGGGCAGACUAGAGUAUGGCAGGGGAGACUGGAAUUCCUGGUGUAGCGGUGAAAUGCGCAGAUAUCAGGAGGAACACCGGUGGCGAAGGCGGGUCUCUGGGCCAAAACUGACGCUGAGGAGCGAAAGCGUGGGGAGCGAACAGG
rnacentral:rRNA from 1 species